UUAAAUAAUUAAUCAUCCCUAGUUUAUCCAUGAAAAUUAAUUCAAGUAAAAGGCUAGGUAUGCUGUUUAGUAUUUUUUCGUUUUUAGUAGUGGUUAUCAUACCUGUCAAGUGUCAGUCCUGUCACAGGCAUAAUAUUACUCUGUGUUGCGAACUGUGAAUUUACUUGUGCCAAUUUUAGAAAUGGUUAAGAUAUGUGCUAUUGUGGGGUGCGUAAACAAAGCUGAAACAGAGUAUCUUUCUUUUGUAUUCCAAAAGUAAUACAGAAAGACACAGAAUCAGUACAACAAUUACAGAAGAAAAGACGUUCGUUGUGGAUCAAGCAACUAAAGAAUAGCAUUUCCAUAACUGAUCACAGUGAUACUAGGGUUUGUAAUGAACAUUUUAUCACUGGGACUCCUAACAAAGAUGAGUCUCACCCUGAUUGGGUCCCCAACGUGAAGUGUAAUGCUGAUAUAAUAACAAGUAAAGAAGAUGCAAAAAAUAAAUUGCAAUGUCAUUUAAUAAAAUGCAACAGGAAGCAAGUGGAAAGUAAAGAUCAACAGUCAUCGACACCCAGUGACUUAUUACUUCAUCAACUGGUUCAUUUUUGGAAUGAGUGUUUGCUGUUUCAAGAUCCAUAUGAUCACUGUAUUCCGCAGUCUGUUCUUCAGGGUUCUAAUAAAUAAUUUAAAAUACA